rnacentral:rRNA from 1 species
AUUGAACGCUGGCGGCAGGCCUAACACAUGCAAGUCGAACGAGUGGCGGACGGGUGAGUCAUGUCUGGGAAACUGCCUGAUGGAGGGGGAUAACUACUGGAAACGGUAGCUAAUACCGCAUACCAUCAGAUGUGCCCAGCUGGGAUUGGCUAGUUGGUGGGGUAACGGCUCACCAAGGCGACGAUCCCUAGCUGGGCGGAGAGGAUGACCAGCCACACGGGAACUGAGCCACGUUCCAGACGCCUACGGGAGGCAGCAGUGGGGAAUAUUGCACAAUGGGCGCAAGCCUGAUGAAGCCAUGCCGCGUGUAUGAAGAAGGCCUUCGGGUUGUAAAGUACUUUCAGCGGGGAGGCGUUACCCGCAGAAGAAGCACCGGCUAACUCCGUGCCAGCCGCCGCGGUAAUUC